AUUGAACGCUGGCGGCAUCCCUUACACAUGCAAGUCGAACGGUAACAGGUCUUCGGAUGCUGACGAGUGGCGAACGGGUGAGUAAUACAUCGGAACGUGCCUAGGAGUGGGGGAUAACUACUCGAAAGAGUGGCUAAUACCGCAUGAGAUCUACGGAUGAAAGCAGGGGAUCGCAAGACCUUGUGCUACUAGAGCGGCCGAUGGCAUAUUAGGUACUUGGUGGGAUAAAAGCUUACCAAGCCGACGAUCUGUAGCUGGUCUGAGAGGACGAGCAGCAGCACUGGGACUGAGACACGGCCCAGACUCCUGCGGGAGGCAGCAGUGAGGAAUUUUGGACAAUGGUCGAAAGCCUGAUCCAGCAAUGCCGCGUGCAGGAUGAAGGCCUUCGGGUUGUAAGCUGCUUUUGUACGGAACGAAAAGCCCCGGGUUAAUACCCUGGGGUCAUGACGGUACCGUAAGAAUAAGCACCGGCUAACUACGUGCCAGCAGCCGCAGUAA
rnacentral:rRNA from 1 species